GAUGAACGCUAGCUACAGGCUUAACACAUGCAAGUCGAGGGACCGGCGCACGGGUGAGAAACACGUAUCCAACCUGCCCUUGACUCGGGGAUAGCCUUUCGAAAGAAAGAUUAAUACCCGAUAUAAAGGAUGGGGAUGCGUUCCAUUAGGUUGUUUGUGAGGUAACGGCCCACCAAGCCUUCGAUGGAUAGGGGUUGUGAGAGGAAGGUCCACCACAUCGGAGCUGAGACACGGUCCACACUCCUACGGGAGGCAGCAGUGAGGAAUAUUGGUCACUGGGCGCUAGCCUGACCCAGCCAAGUAGCGUGACGGGUGAAGGCUUAUUGGUCGUAAACUUCUUUUAUAUAAGAUUAUUUAUUUUAUGAAUAAGGAUCGGCUAACUCCGUGCCAGCAGCCGCGGUAAUAC
rnacentral:rRNA from 1 species